UAAGGCUUUUCCUAUUGGAUGUUCUACAGUGGUCCUCGAGCUAUCAGCGUAUACUUUAACUAGAAUUAUUAAUCACUUCCAGACUAGGAGCUCUUGGUAACCACAAGAAUGAACGCCUUCGUCUUUGUAUUGGCCGUAUGUCUGGUCGCAGUUGUCCACUGUAACACUAUGUCAGUGGUCAACAGUUUUGGCUCAAGCAACGGAAUGAACUUUCCAUACACUUUAUCAUCGGGAACUGGUUCCCCACUUGACGGUUUUGCUCCAAGCUACAGUGGAAUAUCACCAGCUAGUUCUGACUUCUCCAAUGUUGGCAUGAUGCCUAGUUUCAAUAUGGGUAGACAAGGAGACUACUUCGGUGGUGGAGGAAGUUUCAUGGGUGGAGAAAGUCUCAUGGAUGGAGGAAGCCUCAUUGGUGGAGGAAGUCUCAUGGGUGGAGGAGGCCUCAUGGGAAGUGGAGGAGGUUUCAUGGGUGGAGGAAGUCUCAUGGGAGGUGGAGGAAGCCUCAUGGGAGAUGGAGGAAGCUACAUGGGAAAUGUAUGGAGAUAAAUUCAUUAUUAAAUAAAUCAAUUGACAAAUCAUGAACUUAGCGAAUACAAGACUCAGAUAAAUUUCAAGAAACAGUUUAUGAUCCACAUUAGCAGAAAAAAUAUAAAUUAAAACAGAAAAAAUGGAACUUCUCUUCGGUUAGCUUGGAGUAGAAUCCGGCUUUUACCAUUGAACACCACUAUCAGUUUGUCCAACAGUUUAUACGAUUAUUCAAAUAAAUCCUUCUAAAAAAAAAAGAAUUA